GGGCUCGUGGCUCAGUUGGGAGAGCGCCGCGUUCGCAACGCGGAGGCCGAGGGUUCGAAUCCCUUCGGGUCCA
rnacentral:tRNA from 1 species